UACGGAGAGUGCAAGCGUUGUUCGGAAUUAUUGGGCGUAGAGCGCGUGUAGGCGGCUUGAUAAGUCUGGCGUGAAAGCCUGGAGCUCAACUUCAGAAGUGCGCUGGAAACUAUCGAGCUUGAGUACUGGAGGGGAAGGGGAUUCUCGGGUGUAGAGGUGAAAUUCGUAGAUAUCCGGAAGAACAUCAGUGGCGAAGGCGCCUUCCUGGACAGAUACUGACGCUGAGACGCGAAAGCGUGGGGAGCAAACAGGAUUAGAUACCCUGGUAGU
rnacentral:rRNA from 1 species